UCGGGAAUCGGCUAACCGGCAGGCUGCCUGACUUUGGAUCAGGCGGUGGAGGUUCGAAUCCUCCUUCCCGAA
rnacentral:tRNA from 1 species